AUGUCAAGAAAGAUUCAGUGAGAAUCUUUUAUGAUGAACCAUCUAGUGAAGUCGAAAGAGAAGUUCGACAGGAAGAAGUCAGAGGUGAAGCAGGCCCAAGCAUACCUCAAAGAACAAGACAUAUGCCUUCUAGGCAAAAGUCAGACCGGUCAAUGCAGCUGAGGCAUUGAAAGAUUUGAAGCAGAUGAAAUAAAUGGAUGAAGAACUUAAGUCAAUC
rnacentral:lncRNA from 1 species